rnacentral:rRNA from 1 species
UACGAAGGGGGCUAGCGUUGCUCGGAAUCACUGGGCUUAAAGGGCGCGUAGGCGGGUUCGCAAGUCUGUGGUGAAAGCCCCCAGCUUAACUGGGGAAGUGCCGUGGAUACUGCGAAUCUUGAGGAGGGUAGGGGCAUCUGGAACGGUCGGUGGAGCGGUGAAAUGCGUUGAUAUCGACCGGAACUCCGGUGGCGAAGGCGAGGUGCUGGACCCUUUCUGACGCUGAGGCGCGAAAGCCAGGGGAGCAAACGGG